UCACCCAUGAAUUCAAUACCGCCCUCCCCUCCGCUAUCCAUCUGGGCUCUCAACUCUAACAACCCUCACCUCUAUUCAGAUAUCAAUCUCUGAUAGCUGCUGACUGGGUUCACUGGUAUAGUUUGCUACAUCCUGAAGCUAAACUAUCUUACGGUCUCCUGAUCAGAUAAAAAAAAAUGGGAAUUUGACAUUUUAAAUAUUUAAAAUUCAUGUCUGACAUUUUAAAGGUUGCAGCAAACUGUACCAGUGAACACUCAAAUCACUAGUCAUGCAAAAUUACCCUCACUCCCCUGCUUUUACACACUAUCUUGCAUCUGUUUACCCUUUUUUUGUUGUUUAUAGUAGCUUCAAACUGUGAUAUGGCCUCAAAAAACCAAAGCAGCUGCUUUGCUGCUCAGUCUGUAAAUAUUUCUUUUAACUCCUGAGGGAGGAAAAGCAUUACAAAAAGCACUGUAAUCAUCAAACAUUUGCUUGAUUAUCUCUUACUAGAAAUGGAAUCACAAGUUUUUUGAACAGUAACAUUUUUAAGGUUUUUUAAGAAGUCACCAAGCCUGCAUUUAUUUGAUGGAAGUAAAACAGUAAAAUUCUGAAAUAUUUUUACUAUUUAAAAUAACUCUUUUGUUUGAAUAUAUUUUAAAAUGUAAUUUAUUCCUGUCAUCAAAGCUAUAUUUUCAGCAUCAUUACUCCAGUAUUCAGUGUCACAUGAUUCUUCAUAAAUCAUUCUAAGUUUUUUUCUUAUUAUUAUCAAUAUUUAAAACAGUUGAGUACAAUUUCAGAAUUCUUUGAUGAAUAGAAAGAUCCAAAGAUCAGCAUUUACCUGAAAUAAAAACAUUCAUUUCAAACAUCAGUUUGUAACAUUGUACGCUAUACCAUUCAAAAGCUUGGAGUCAGUAUAAUUUUUGGUAAAGUAAUUAUAUAAAUUAAUGCUUUUAUUUAGAAGGAAAGAUGUUUAAAAUGUUACUAAGAUUUCUAUUUCAGAUAAAUGCUGUUCUUCUGAACUUUCUAUUCAUCAAAGAAACCUGAAAAAAAUUCUACUCAGCUGUUUUCAACAUAAAAAUACAUGUUUCUUUGAGCAGCAAGUCAGAAUAUUAGAAUGAUUUCUGAAGGAUCAUGUGACACUGAAGACUGAUGCUAAAAUUCAAUUCUGAAAUCACAGGAAUAAAUUACAUUUUAAAAUAUUCAAAUAGUUAUUUUAAAUAGUACAAUUUUGCUUUACUUUGAAUCAAAUAAAUGCAGGCUUGGUGAGCAAAAGAGACUUCUUUUAAAAACGUUAAAAAUCUUACUGUUCAAGAACUUUCGACUGGUAGUGAAUAAAUAUUCAAUGUUAUACUAGUUACUAUUUAUAGUUACAGUUAUUAUUUAUAGUUACACUCUAAAAAUGCUGGGUUAAAAACAGUCUAGCACUGGGUGAAAUACAGACAAAUCCAGCAAUUGGGUUGUUUUGACAUGUUUAACCCAACCUUCUGGGUAGUUUUUGCUUAAAAAAAUUACUGUAAUCCUGAACCCAAAAUAGACUGGAAAUUAACAUUUAUUAAUAUGUUCAAUAAAUGAACAAGUUGAAUAAAUAAUUAAUAAAUAAUAAACAUAUUUUAAUUGCUUAUAAAUAAAUGUUUACCUUUUGAUUAUUGCAGAUGCCUCUAGUAAUUAUGUGUUUGACUUUUUAAUUUACAACCUAUUUUGGAUUCAUUUUAAGCCAGCCAUAUUUUAAUUUUUGUUGAGUAUUUUAGUCAGUAAAUCUACCCAUGAAGGUUGGAUUAAACAUUUAACCCAACCACUGGAUCAAAACAACCCAGUCGCUGAGUUUGUCUAUAUUUAACCCAGCGCUUGGUUGUAUUUAACCCAGCAUUUUUUAGAUUGUACUAUUAUAAUAUUUAUUAAUAUUUUGAAUGACCUUGUGUUUUCAUAUUUUCACUUUUUCAAUUAAAUAUUAGUUCAAACUUUUGUCAUUUAAAAAAAGAAUAUUAAAUAUACACUAUUAUUAAAAUAAAAUAAUAAAUAUUAUUAUUUAAAAUUAUUAUUAUAUUAUUAUUAAUAUUAUUAAAAUAUUAAAUAUACCAGAAAGAUUUGUAAUGUUUUUUAACAGCAAAUCAGCAUAUUAGAAUGAUUUCUGAAGGAUCAUGUGAAGACUGGGGCAAUGAUGCUGAACAUUUUGCUUUGAUCACAGAAAUAAAUUACAUUUUUAAAUAUAUUCAAAUAGAAAAAGAGUCAUUUGAAAUAGUACAAACAUUCCAAAAUUAUACUGUUUUUGCUAUACUUUGGAUCAAAUAAAUGCAUGCUUGGUGAGCAAAAGAGACUUCUAUUAAAAAAAAAAAAAAACAUUACAAAUCUUACUGUUAAAAAACUUUUGACGUGUCGUGUAUAAUAUAUAAAACAUAUAAAGCACAAAAAAUUUUAUUUUCAGUUUAAAUAUAUUUUCUUUUUGUCAGUUUUAGUCAACAAAAACAAUUUUUAAAAAAUUUAGUUAGCAAUUACAACACUGUAAAUGUUAUUUACUUUGCUCAACCACUGAAUUAAACAGCAUUUUUAUUUUUUUCAACAAAAUGUGGGAUGUCAUAGGCACUGAAUACAACAUUUUUACAAAUUUAUACACGCCUGACUCCCACUGCCUUAUUAAUUAAAACUCAUUUAGAUGAACUGAGCAUGAACACACUAUCUAUUUUAUGUGCAAUUUUAUACAUUUCAUCCACCAAGAACAACAUCUGAUACUCCGAACAAACCGUCUGAGGAAAAUGAAUGUCCCAGCAACAUCUUUACCUGUGUCAAAUGGUGUUUUCUCAUUGGUGUUGGGCUGGCAUUAAUGCUUUAGUGUUCAUGUCUGUUUUGUGUGCUAGCUUCUUAGAAUAUUUUGCAUCAGUUUGCAGAGCAUUAGCAACAACAUUUUCUCCCCAUUCUCAUGUGACAAUAGACCUGUGUACUUCAUUAUAGGAAUCCAGUAUGAGUGCAUGCGUUAAAUACCGGUUUAAGUAUUUUGAGACGGGGUUCAUAAAGCACAGCGCUUUUAUAAGUAGUGCGUUUGAGUUGCUAGAUCUUUAAAAACUCUUCCCCUCCGUUCAAACGGACAGCCAGUGUGCGUCGAUCUCCCCCCUCCCUCAGAUGCUCCCUGAGAUUGCUCUCUAAAGGAUUUCCCUCUGACCCAGAAUUGCCAGUGGAUCUGCAUUUGAGACCUCCAAGACUGCAGUUGAGGGGCGAUAGAUGAUAUCUAGGGUUAAAACUGAUGACUGGUUUACAGUAUUCUAAUACAGAGUUAUCUGUGUGUCAGUAUUAAUCGUGAAGAGAACGUGGAGACAAAUUCUGAAUUGUUGAUGGAAAAACAAAAACGCAUAACCGGAAUACAUAUGCUGUUUCCACAGCUGCUCAGAGCACCUGCACUAAUUGAAUUGUGUUUGAUCAUGUGACCUGCUUUAGGCUUGUGUAGACUUGUUUUUAAAGGGUUAGUUCACCUAAAAAUUAUGUUUUAAACCCGUGAGACCUUUGUUUGUCUUCGUGCGUUUUUGUGCUCUCGUGAAAGUGCGUCAACUGGCACGGAAGAGAAGAAAUUGUUGAGUAAAGUCGUUUUUGUUUUCUUUGCUCACAAAAAGUAUUCUCGGAACUUCAUAAAAUUAAGGUUGAACUAGUGAUGUCACAUGGACUAUUUUAACAAUGUCCUUACUACCUUUCUGUACCUCGAAUGUGUCAGUUGCGUUGCUGUCUAUGUAGGGUCAGAAAGCUCUCGGAUUUCAUCAAAAAUAUCUUAAUUUGCCAUCCAAAGAUGAA